GAUGAACGCUAGCGGCAGGCUUAACACAUGCAAGUCGAGGGGCAGCAUGACACGGAGAUUCGUCGAAGCGUUGAUGGCGACCGGCGCAAGGGUGCGUAACGCGUGAGCAACUUGCCUGUUUCAGGGGGAUAACCGGUGGAAACGCCGACUAAUACCCCAUGGUAUGUUUUUAAGGCAUCUUUUAAACAUUAAAGAAUUUCGGAAACGGAUAGGCUCGCGUGACAUUAGCUAGAUGGCGGGGUAACGGCCCACCAUGGCGACGAUGUCUAGGGGUUCUGAGAGGAAGGUCCCCCACACUGGAACUGAGACACGGUCCAGACUCCUACGGGAGGCAGCAGUGAGGAAUAUUGGUCAAUGGUCGAGAGACUGAACCAGCCAUGCCGCGUGAAGGUGACGGCCCUAUGGGUCUUAAACUUCUUUUGUAAGGGAGCAAUAAGGUCUACGUGUAGACUGAUGAGAGUACCUUACGAAUAAGCAUCGGCUAACUCCGUGCCAGCAGCCGCGGUAACAC
rnacentral:rRNA from 1 species